rfam:Pseudoalteromonas citrea strain KMM216 contig0159, whole genome shotgun sequence.
ACCGUGAGGGAAAGGUGAAAAGUACCGUGAAUAACGGAGUGAAAAAGAUCCUGAAACCAUACGCCUACAAGCGGUCGGAGCCACAUUAGUGGUGACGGCGUGCCUUUUGCAUAAUGAGCCUACGAGUUACCGUUGCUGGCAAGGAUAAGCACUUCAGGUGUGGAUCCGUAGCGAAAGCGAGUCUGAAUAGGGCGCCAUAGUCAGUAGUGGUAGACGCGAAACCGUGUGAUCUACCCAUGGGCAGGUUGAAGCUGUGGUAACACACAGUGGAGGACCGAACCCGUUGACGUUGAAAAGUCUUGGGAUGACCUGUGGGUAGGGGUGAAAGGCCAAUCAAACUCGGAAAUAGCUCGUACUCCCCGAAAUGCAUUUAGGUGCAGCGUUGAGCGAAAGU